AGAAAAGUAUUUAAAAAUAUAAUGAAUAGGUCACAUCUGAUUGGCUGAAACGCGUGGCGGGAAAUGUGCGAAGGCAGUGAAAAAGUUUCUUCAGAAUGCGAGUUGUGUGACGUCAUCAGCUUUGUGUUAUCUGGACCUAGAGAAAAUUAGGGGAAAAUUAGUAAAAUAUUUCAUAGAAUUUCAACUUUUCCCGCCUUUUAGUCAACGAGAUUUCCCCCAAUCGAGUACUGAUACAAAUUCCUGGUAGGCAGCCAAUCAGAGACAACUUCUUCCCUGUCGUCGUUUGUUUUCGUUUUGACUGACCUAACCUAAAAUUCUGGCGUUGAUUGAAAGUGUCUAGCCGACUCCGAGAAACGAAUAAAGAAGUUUUAAUUCUUGACUUUUAAUUUUUAAAACAUUCACACGCAGGACGCCACAAUGACAGAGGAAGUUCAAAAACACUCGGUCCAUACCUUAGUUUUUCGCUCUUUGAAGAGGACACAUGAUAUGUUCGUUUCCAAUCAAAGUAACCUUCCCCCUAUAGAUGAGCUAGCUGAAAGCAUCAAAAGAAAAUAAAAACACGAGACUGUUAUGGUGCUGUACGAGAAAUCGUUGAGAAAAAUAAAGCCCAAAAAAUGUUGCAGAGUGCCAAACAGUUAGAGCUGCAGGAAUCUGAGCGAGGUAAGGCUUUUUUUCCACUUUAAUUUUCCUUUUUUCUUUUAGGAGUGACGAUCCACCGAAAAAGAGACCUAUAAGCGUUGAAGCUUUUUCAGGAGAGUAACUUUGUUCCGGAUGUGGAGAAAAAACGUGUUUUGAGCUUUCAAUGAAAAAUGCUGUCUACUAUCAAUAAGAAUCAAUUGCAAAUAUUAUAUUUAUAUUCGACUCUACACUGUAGCAUAAAUCUUUAAAUAAUUUCUUUAAAACUAUGUUUUUUUGAACUGUAGGCUCCAAACUUUUUCGGUUAAUUUAAGUUCACAUUUACACUAAUUUAAACUUGUGCUUCC
rnacentral:lncRNA from 1 species